rnacentral:misc_RNA from 1 species
CACUUCUUGAUGAAAGCAGCCUACGCAAACAAGCAAUGAAACCCAUCACAGUAGCAGCGGCUUUAGGAGAGGGUGGAGGUAGUGAUGGCGCCUCUGGUGGGAGAUUGGGAGCAGCUGGAAGCAUUGUAAUCAAAGCCAUUAGCGUCACCUCCGGUACUUCAAUACCAGAAGGUACUCCACCAUAUGGAAUACAUGCAUUAAAUUCUCUUAUCCUGCGCCAUAGUUUUGCUCUUGAUCCAG